CCCCCGCGCUGUGCCAGACGCUGCACAAAGGCACAGGGAGGAGGAAGGAGAUUCUUUCUGCAGUUCCCGCAGACUCCAUGGCUGCACCCGGAGAGACACCCCGCAGCUUCGGUGUCUGUGCAGGUACCAGCCAGCUCCGCCCCCCAGCAACGGGGAAAAUGGAAUUUUGGGUCUAUUUAGUUUUCGUGGUGGGAGCUUUGCCAGGGGUCCGGCCCCAGAUCAUCUUGGUAGAAUCCGGAGGGGACGUGAAGAAGCCCGGAGACUCUCUGCGCCUCUCCUGCAAAGCCUCCGGCUUCACCUUCGCUGAUUACCGGAUGUGCUGGGUCCGACAGGCUUCCGGGAAGGGGCUGGAGUGGGUCUCUUAUUUCUAUGGGGAUACUACAUUCUACCUUGAUGCCGUGAAAGGCCGAUUCACCAUCUCCAGGGACAUCCCCAACAACCUGCUGUUCCUGCAAAUGACCGGCCUGAAGCCCGAGGACACCGCCCGCUAUUACUGUGCGAGAUGCACAGCGACACGAAACCUAUUGACGCUUCUGCAAAAAUCCAGCCUGCAGACCCCGCUGCCGUCGCAUGGGGGCAGCAGAGAGACACACAGACUCGAGACCGCGGUGCGGUGGAUGAAAGACAAGCCCGCCUCAAAGUUUUAA